rnacentral:rRNA from 1 species
UACGUAGGGUGCGAGCGUUGUCCGGAAUUAUUGGGCGUAAAGAGCUCGUAGGCGGUUUGUCGCGUCUAUCGUGAAAACCUGGGGCUUAACUCCGGGCUUGCGGUGGAUACGGGCAUCACUGGAGUUCGGCAGGGGAGACUGGAAUUCCUGGUGUAGCGGUGAAAUGCGCAGAUGUCAGGAGGAACACCGGUGGCGAAGGCGGGUCUCUGGGCCGAUACUGACGCUGAGGAGCGAAAGCAUGGGUAGCGAACAGG